GUUAGGAAUAUUGGACAAUGGGCGCAAGCCUGAUCCAGCCAUGCCGCGUGAGUGAUGAAGGCCUUCGGGUUGUAAAGCUCUUUAGCCGAUGAUUAUAAUGACUGUAGUCGGAAAAUAAGCCCCGGCUAACUUCGUGCCAGCAGCCGCGGUAAUACGAAGGGGGCGAGCGUUAUUCGGAAUCACUGGGCGUAAAGCGUGCGUAGGCGGCUUUGCAAGUUGGGAGUGAAAGCCCAGGGCUCAACCCUGGAAUUGCUCUCAAAACUGCAAGGCUCGAAUUCGGGAGAGGAUAGCUGAAUUGUCAGUGUAGCAGUGAAAUGCGUAGAUAUUGACAGGAACACCAGUGGCGUAAGCGGCUAUCUGGACCGAUAUUGACGCUGAGGCACGAAAGCGUGGGGAUCAAACAGGAUUAGAAACCCGAGUAGUCC
rnacentral:rRNA from 1 species